AUGGAGGUAGAUACUCGAUGUCCUGUAUGUUUUAGAUUAGAUGAAGUGGGAGGACAUUGCUUUUUUAUGUGUAAGAAAGUCAAGGAGGUGUGGCGGAGAUUAAACCUGGAGCACAUUAGGGUGCUUUUGGCUGAAGUUACAAAUCCUGUAAGCAUCCUAGAGCAAAUCCUUAGUCUAGUGGAGGAGAGAAAAAUAAAAACUUGCUUGCUGCUUUGGCGCUGGUGGCAUGUUCGCAAUAAGGCAAACACGGGCGAAGCCCUUAUCUCGACUGAUGAUGUUUGUUAUUCUAUUAAUUAUCAUCUAUCAAGUGUAAUGAAAAGCAAAAGGACUACUAGGGAGCAAAAACUGCAGUUGAACCAUAAUUGGUCUCGGCCGCCAAGUGGCUUUCUCAAGAUUAAUACUGAUGCAUCUUUUCACAGGGACACCAAUUCCGGCGACUGGGGAUUCGUCAUUAGAGAUGAUCAAGGUAGGGCGAUGGCUGCAGAGGCGGGAAAUAUGGUACACAUCUCAGAUGUUCUACAUGCUGAAGCUUUGGCCUUGUUGUAUGCCAUAAAAAUGGCUGCUCAUAUGGGUUGCGACAAGGUGUUGUUUGAAACUGAUUCCAUACAGCUGAGGAGGGCAGUGGAUUCUAAUGAGUAUGAUCUAGCGAAUAUAGGAGCUAUUAUUAGGAGUAUUACGUUCCAACUGUGUGUGGAGUUUUCUUCUGCUAGUGUUGUGUCUUGCCCUCGGGCUUGUAACAGAGUGGCACAUGUUUUAGCUGCGUAUGGAGUUAACUUGGGAGCUGAAAUGUGUGAAACCUGGUUGGGUCCACUCCCAGACUUUGUACCGAAUUAUGUAAUGGGCGAUUUGCCUAAUACUGGUAUGUAA
rnacentral:rRNA from 1 species